rnacentral:lncRNA from 1 species
AUGAAUUCAGGGAGUGUGUUCUUCUUCACCAGAGGAAGGUCACUAGAGGUUGGAGUUCACUCGAACUGGUUCCACUGUAUAAUGAAUGAAGCCAGAGGGGAAGGUUUAUUGUGCCAAGGAUCUGCUUUGAAACGGCUUAACUCCCUGGAAACAAAGGCUGAAAUCCCAGCAGUUGCUUCCGACUCUUUGUGAUCUCCUGGACCAGCCCACGCCAGAGCUCCCUGUCAGCUGUCGACACCCCCAGUUCCUUCAAGGUCAAGCCAGUCACUUCAAGGAUAGCAGGAACUAGACCUUCUGAUUAACAGAAAUGAGCAUCUGUUAUGAGCUGUGUGCUCAGUAAGUAUGACUUGCAAGCAGGCUUUUAGGCACAAAGAUCCAGGUAGGGAACUUUUACCUCCUGUAUCCUUGGCCAACUUGGAAGAAGAAAUCCUUCAUUUAAAAAGUACAAACUGGGACUUUCCUAUAACAACCCACUCCACUUCCUGCUGAAAAAG